GUUAUUUUUGUUAAUUCCUCUAAGAGUAUAUAAGGAGAUUUCGAUGUAACGAUUACUUAUAUUUUAUUAACAAGCAGUGAAGUUGUCUAGUAAGAAAUGGCGAAUUUUGCAGGCAAAAUGGUACUCAUAAGUUUUAUACUUGCAUUACUGGCCGUCACAGGCAGUUUGGCAGCACCAUAUCCAGUGCCACUUCCUGAAGCUCUUCCAUAAUAUUACAAUGGAUAUUCUGGAUAUGUUUACCCUGGAUAUAGUGCUUAUGGAAGCUACCCUUAUGGGCUUAAUUAUUUUUAUAGAUAGAGAAACGACGUGUUAAAUAUGAUUAUAAUUAUUCGCUGAAGUGAAAAUCUCUUUUUUUUAUUUUUCUUUGAUUUCUUUGCUUGUUAGAUAUAAAUAAACCUUAAGCAUUUGAGUUAUACUUUAGAAAGCAUAUAAGCUUAUUAAAAAUAAAUUACUUAAGCAGG